GGAUUAGAUACCCUGGUAGUCCAUGCCGUAAACGAUGUCAACUAGCUGUUAGAUAUAUAUUUAGUGGCGUAGCUAACGCGUUAGGUUGACCGCCUGGGAAGUACGGCCGCAAGGUUAAAACUCAAAUGAAUUGACGGGGACCCGCACAAGCGGUGGAGCAUGUGGUUUAAUUCGAUGCAACGCGAAGAACCUUACCUACCCUCGACAUCUUCGGAAAGUUUUGUAAUGAAACUGUGCCUUCGGGAACCGAAUGACAGGUGUUGCAUGGCUGUCGUCAGCUCGUGCUG
rnacentral:rRNA from 1 species